rnacentral:RNase_P_RNA from 1 species
UCAGACGGUCGGAUGGCCGCUCUUUGUCGCGAGACGGGGAGAGGAAAGUCCGGGCUCCACGGAGGUACGGUGCCGGCUAACGGCCGGCGGGGGCGACCCCAGGGAUAGUGCCACAGAAAAUACACCGCCGAGCCCAGCCGGUCUCGAUCGGGGGUCCCGCAUGGGAUUUCAUGGGCGGUAAGGGUGAAAUGGUGCGGUAAGAGCGCACCGCGUCGCCAGCAAUGGGGACGGCAGGGAAAACCCCACCGGGAGCAAGACCAAGUAGGAGCGGCAGGCGGAUUCGGUGAAAGCCGGCCCGCCGGGCGGACCAACGCGCCGCCGCUCGGGUCGGUCGCGCGAGGCGUUCGGUAACGAGCGUCCCAGAUGAAUGGCCAUCUCCGCCCGGCUCGGGCGGAACAGAACCCGGCUUAUAGACCGUCUGGCACA